GCCGCUGCAGAGUUUGAUCCUGGCUCAGAUUGAACGCUGGCGGCAGGCUUAACACAUGCAAGUCGAGCGGGGGAAGGUAGCUUGCUACUGGACCUAGCGGCGGACGGGUGAGUAAUGCUUAGGAAUCUGCCUAUUAGUGGGGGACAACAUCUCGAAAGGGAUGCUAAUACCGCAUACGUCCUACGGGAGAAAGCAGGGGAUCUUCGGACCUUGCGCUAAUAGAUGAGCCUAAGUCGGAUUAGCUAGUUGGUGGGGUAAAGGCCUACCAAGGCGACGAUCUGUAGCGGGUCUGAGAGGAUGAUCCGCCACACUGGGACUGAGACACGGCCCAGACUCCUACGGGAGGCAGCAGUGGGGAAUAUUGGACAAUGGGGGGAACCCUGAUCCAGCCAUGCCGCGUGUGUGAAGAAGGCCUUAUGGUUGUAAAGCACUUUAAGCGAGGAGGAGGCUACUUUAGUUAAUACCUAGAGAUAGUGGACGUUACUCGCAGAAUAAGCACCG
rnacentral:rRNA from 1 species